UCAACUGAUCUAGGAAGACACCAGUUGAUGUUGAAUCGGGAUAGGAAAUCUGACCAAAUUUCUGAAAUGAAAGGGCAGUGAAGUAACUAGAGGGAACCGUCCAUUAGUCCAUUUGGAAAUGAGAGGAUGUAGGUGAGAGAUUUUCAAGGGAAUGAGGUAUGGUCUUUGGGCCAGGUGACUAAAAAAAAGUAUUUUUGGGAGGAUGUUUGGGUAGGGUCAGAAAGUAUAGUGUCCAGUUUUGCAUUGUUGUAUUUAGUGUUCAAAAUAUCGGUAUCACGUUACAUAUCACACCUUUGGGAUAAAAAUACGUAUCGGUUAUCGCAUGAGAUAUAUCGGUUGUAUCACGUA